GAUUUUCCAGGCAAGAAUAUUGGAGUGGGUUGCCAUUUCCUCCUCCAGGGGAUCUUACUGACCCAUGGAUCACAUGCUUGUCUCCUGCAUUGCAGGCGGAUUCUUCACCUGCUUAACCAUUGGGAAAAGCCCAGGAGAAGAUCCGGUUGCCCUGGGUGAUGUCGAUCUGCAUGACUCCAGCCCCCAGGUUCCUGAAUAUGGACUGUUUAGCGUGUUCAUUUUUAAAUGAAUGAAUUAGGCCACGGCCUGUCAAUCUCCAAACCUAGUUUAGAGGAAAACGUGAAAACAAACUGUCCUAACAGGAACCACACAGAAGGAAGGAAGGAAGCAAGAGACAGUAUUCACAUGAAGAGGGUGAUAUGAGGAGUUGCUGUUUUGGCGCAUACUGAAGCACCGUGGCACCAUGAUCAUGGCAUGUGAAACCUGAAGAGAAACAUCAAGAGCCCUUCCCAAACCGUGUCUACUCUGGCACUGCUGGUAAUUUUUAAAUACACAUUACAGUAAUACAGAAAUUACUGUCACAGUUUCUCUUCUAAAUUUCUAUAAUCAUGAGCAAACUAAAAAGAUGGCAAGCACUGACAGAAAAAAACUCCUUAUU